UGAGGUAGAGGUUGCGCGGAUGAUAAGUCGCGCAUGUGAGGCUGAAUUGGAGCCUGUGAUCAUGCGUAAAAGGCAUCAGCGCCGAAGCAUAAAGAAGCCAUUCAUUCUUUAUGCUGGGUCUGCAUUGAAUAAGUGCAGGACUGCCGCGGGGUUCCCUGCGGAGGGCUAUCCGG
rnacentral:ncRNA from 1 species